GUACCUAGAGUUUUCUUGGUGAUUGAAUUUGUCCAUGGACAUAUACAAGUUAAUAGUUAAAGUCAUCAAAAUCAUGCCUAACCCAUGCCAAAGGAGUCGAAAUUUGAACCAUGUUUAUGUUAGAACCCUACUAGAUUGACUCACAGAUAACUGGAUUCACUUUAGGGUACAGGACCUCAAGGGGAGGGAGGUCAGAGCAGAGAAUGAAAGAGAACUGGGUACGGAGAGACAAAGGCUUGAAGAGGAAUAUUGAAUACAUUUUAUCAUUUUCUGUGGCUAGGAGAAACUAUUCUGUAAAAUAUUUUUAUUUAAAGAAACUAAAUAAAACCAAGAGAAGUUACUUGUUUUUAUACUUAAGCAUAAAAGUCAUAGCUAAAGCUAUUUUAAUUGAAGUCGGAGCUGUACCAAACGGUGAAACGGAUAUUGUUCAUAUAAAUCUAAGGUGACAGGUUAGGUGUGGCUGCGGCACCACUUCCACGUGCACGGUUGCACCCUACCACCCUGAUGUGAUGGGGCAGAGGAUGGGCGUCACGAGUGAUCAUGGGUUCUCGUGACUACUUGAUUCCCUUUGUCUGCGCGAGUUAACAGGUGCUCGCCAGCACCGACACUUGCGCCAUCGCUGAUGUAGGAACCAUUCUGCAGCCAACCCGUUUAACACAUGCAAACAAAGUUGCUAUAUACUCAUAUUAGCUAAAUGAAAAGAGUUUAUAACUAAACUAAAAGUGCAAGUUGCAUAUAUUCAUUUCAUCUGUUCGUUGCCACACGCCAUGUACGUCUAUUUAUUUGUAGAGAGUUCUCUAUCACCCUCACACACAAAUCAAUCCAAUACAGCUAGUAGCGUGCAGUAGCACAACGCAAAACAGCACCAUGGCGCUCACCACAAGCACUAAUAACCAAGCCUUGCUUGACGCUCCGCUAGAGCUCUGGCACACGACCUUUGCUUACAUGAAGUCCAUGGCACCGAUACAUCUUCCUUAAGUGGGUUUUGCAUGACUGGGACAAUGCUGGUUGUAGCAAGAUACUGAAGAAUUGUAAGAAAGCUAUAACUCCUAGGGAUGCAGGAGGAAAGGUGAUAAUCCUAGAUAUGGUUAUGGGGGGCCAAUCGUCAAACAUUAAGCACAAAGAUACUGUCUUGUUUGAUCUCUUCAUCAUGUUUGUCAAUGGCGUCAAGCGAGACGAGCAAGAAUGGAAGAAGAUCAUCUAUGAAGCCGGAUUUAGUGAUUACAAAAUCAUACCUGUUCUUGGUGUUUUUUUUUUGACGAAACUGGACCUGUUCUUGGUGUUCGAUCCAUCAUUGAGGUCUACCCGUAAUUGUUUGGUGAAAACGUGUUUCAAGAUUUCUUUCUGAAUAAGUUGUUUGGUUAACUAGCAUGGGACAUUGUGUCCGUGACAUCAUGUGCAAUGCGUGAUUAGUACCAAAGAAUUUGUUCAUGUGCAAGAAUUGCAUUAAUUUUGAGUUGAAGUAACACAUUCUUGCGAUCGGCGGUGUUCCAUG